GACGAGCCUCACAAACGUUAUUCGGAAUUACUGGGCUUAAGGGGUGCGUAGGCGGCGCGGAAAGUUGGGUGUAAAAUCCCUCAGCUUAACUGAGGAACUGCGCCCAAAACUACCGUGCUUGAGGGAGAUAGAGGAAUGCGGAACUUACGGUGGAGCGGUGAAAUGCGUUGAUAUCGUAGGGAACACCGGUGGCGAAAGCGGCAUUCUGGACCUCUUCUGACGCUGAGGCACGAAAGCUAGGGUAGCGAACGGG
rnacentral:rRNA from 1 species